ensembl:lncRNA LINC02301 long intergenic non-protein coding RNA 2301
GCGUUCCUGUGUGAUGGGGCCGGAGCCAGUAAACAGGCUUCCUUCUCGCUCUGCUGUAUAAGAAGAAGAAGUAGGAGAAACAAAAUAAGGAGGAGAAGAAGUAAAAUAAUUUGAGAAGGAAUAUGAAGGUGAAACAUGAAGAUGAUGGUGGACAGGUGAGCUACGCAGUUCGUGGAAGAACCAGGUCCCAUGUGGACAAGCCAGUAAGAGUUUUCAACUUGGGUGCCAGCAGUAACCGGUUAUACAAAGGAAACUCAACAUUCCUCUUCCCCAAAGUAAACCUAUUGCAAAAACCCCUUCCAUCUAAUAAUAGCAACUCAAGGUCCCAUGGAGUUUCAUACAUUUUCCAGAGUUACAAAACCUGGCUAACACUGAGUCAAGUUAGGAAUCUCAAUCAAUGUCUUUGACCAACUUAAAGUGUUUGUAGAAUGUUUGAUGUACCUAAGAGUGAGUAAAAUGUGAAAGUCAGUUGCUGGAAUUGGUUGAAUGAGAGUGUCGGGUGAAGAAGGCAAGACAUGCAACAGAGGAAGAGGAAUGUGUCAUCCAAGAGGGGAAAAGAGAAAUACUAUUACUAUCUGUUGUCUUGGUGGUUCUCAUGAGGAGUGAAAGGAGAAUUGCUAACCUGGAAGAAGAUCAGAGAAACACACUAUACAGUCCUGCAGUCCUUCACCAAGUAGCAUGGGAUAGAAGCUCUGAACAUCAGCAUAAUUUUGAGGCCUAAAGUGUAAGAAUUGCUAGAAAUGCUGUGGUAUUAUUAAUUAAUUAAUUAAUUAAUAAUUAAUUUAUUUUUGUAUUAACUUAUUUUUAUUUAGAAAUGAUGGUAAAGAUGAUGAUGAUGAUGAUGAUGAUGCUUACAAUAACAGAUACUCAAGGUUAAAAAAUAAUUGUAAAAGUUCAAACUUACAUUAGAGUAAAAGUUAUCCUGGGUGCUGCAACCUUUGUCCAACAUGACUCAUGUAACCAAUAUUAACAGUGUAACCACAAAGCUUUGUAGUGGAAUACAUGUAGGCAAUUAUUUUUACCCAACAAGAUAUACUAGCAUUGGUUUUUCUCUGCCUCUGUUUCUGAUGAGUUGUUCAUACAAUAGAGGCUAGAUAGAAUAUUCAAGUCAAUAUAAUACAAACACAACUACCACUACAUAUGGGCUAGAAGCAGGAACCCCAUCACCCACCUAGAGAAUACAGAAGAAUUGAGAAAGUGAAGAGAAUAUUGUCAGGAUAUUGGAGAAGAGAUUUCUUUGGCGAUGAUGGGCACUCAAGUGAGAUAAUUAGCUUAGGGUCACCUAGGGUCCUAUAAAAAGGUAACCCAGCAGAUAAACACUGCAGGAGUAUUUAACGAUGCUCAGGGGCCUGAGAAAUGGUAAAAUUACACCAUCACCCAGGCCCACGGUGCUGCAUAUAUCACUACAUCUCAUCCCCUGCUGCCCCCCACACUGCAGCCAGAAGUUGUGAAAGGCGCGCAGGAGAGAGCAGAGAAGCAGCAGGACCUCCCCUCUAUCUCCACUGUCGGUGUCCCUACCGAACAGGGUCCUAGAUGGGUAGGAAGGAAGAAUUUAACACUGAGUCAAGUUGGGAAUUUCAAUUGAUAGUUUGACUGAUUAAAAGU